rnacentral:lncRNA from 1 species
GGUCUAUGUGAGCGUGUGAGCCAGGUCGGAGGUCAUGCUGCGGACGGAAUCUGACUCCCACGGCCUCUUUUCGUCUGGAGAGACGUCUGACAAUGACUGUGAGAUGAGGGCGAGUUGUGGAGAGGUAGAUGUAGUGUGUGUGUGCGAGGCCGGUCCCUGUACACUUUAUUCAGAAGCACACACUCCUACGCCGGACACACUGCUGUGUGAACACUGUGGGAAAAACCGGGUAAUGAUAACCAGGUACUCCGAGGGAUACGGCACGGAGGAGGAGUGUGUGUUGUCUGACCCUCAGGGGGAGAGUGAUGCAGAUGCUGAUAUAGAGGACACAGAUUGCAGACUCCAGGAGCCAGGUUCUCUCCAGCGAAUCAGCUCUCGAAGACGUAAGCGUCCGCGGGUAGCUCGGCAAGACACCACCGAGAGCGAGGACGACGGCGGGCGAAGCCACAGAUCACAUCGCUGGAACCUCAGGCUCAGCCCUGCCAGACCACACAGCAGGACAAUACUGGAGGAGAGCAUAUCACAGGUCAGGCCACUGGUCAUCUGCCGGCCGAACGAGGAGAGGCAACAGAGUCCGGGCGACCUGCCCCGAGGCUCCAAGCGUCUGAGGUCUCUAUGGCCAUCUUCCCUCUCUCUGCCUCUCAUCCUCCUCCUCUUGCUGCCUCUCUCCCUCUCCCUCGUCAUUGUUAUCGUGUCUUUCCUUCUACCGUGGGCCAGCGCUUGACUCUUUUCUGUUUCAUGAGAAUAGUUUAUUACAACAAAAAAACAACCACCGACUCAGACAAUGCACAAAAUGGGAACACGCACAUGUUGCUUUACGCAGGAUAGUACAGAUAAAGCCGCUCUCUGUACAUGUUACAUCCAGAAACUCUGCUCACGAUCUAAACUCAGUGCUUUCUUCUGCUUCAUGAAAUCUCACCUUCCACUUUCUCACCCCCUCGUUUGUAAAAAUAGACCUCUCGUCUGGCUCCUUGUUCUAACGAGCCACAGGAGUGAUACGCGGGGGAAAGGUUUCAGGGCUGCACAGGUAGAUUCAAAAGGGAAAAUUACAACGCUCAAGUGGAAAAUAGGACGACGAUGAUGCUGCUGAACUAUGCAAUUCUUAAGUUCCUACUGCAGCAUCUCAUCUGCUGUUAAAAGAAGUCUCCUAUUUCUUUGGCACUAUCGUCCCCUUCUUGACCCCUUCCCUUGUCUCUUUGAAAUACAAGGAGUUCUGGUUCUAAAAUAGAGCAUGACCCAAUUUAAAAAGCAAUAGCAGAAGAGAUCUGAUAUGGCUCCUGAUCUGUAGUUGUUGAGCAGUACGUGUGUUUAAUGAGUGGGUUAUGUGUUAUUUUACUGGUUGCCGAUUUAAAAACAGGGAAUCUUCUUUUUCUUCUUCCUCGCUGCACUCGUGUAUGUUUUCAGUAAAAUAAGCCGACCUCAAAACUAAAUGGGCUUUAUUGGAACUUAAUUAUGUUAAAGUCAUUUAAACACUUCUUACAGUUGAUUACUAUUGUGUUUAAAAGUAUUCAUGUUAUGUUAUCUAUAUUUAUGAAUGAUCAUUUAAGAAGAAAUGUGAGGUUGACAAUCAGUCACGCUACUUAUUCCAAUUGGAAAAGGCUGUGACUUUUCUGUACUGUAUGUUAAUUGUUACGGUGUUUUUGUAUGUAUUUAAAGUUGUGACUUUGCUUCACACCACAGUGGAUUUGCUUGCAUCCUUGUAGAGAAAUGUUCCCAAUUGAGAUCAGGUUGUGCUGUAUGAGCUCAUUUGAUUCAUGUUGUGUUGCCUGCCUUACCUUUUAUCUCCAUGUGUGUGUGUGUGUGUGUGUGUGUGUGUGUGUGUGUGUGUGUGUGUGUGUGUGUGUGUGUGUGUGUAUGUGUGUUCACCUUUGUGUUCAUGGGGCCAUAGAAGUAAAAAAGCCAAUAAAACUACAUUGUAUUUUGACAAAAAAAAAAACUGCUUCCUUUUUGUUUAUAAGAGCAAAUGUAAAAUCAUAUGAGUGAAUGAAUCACCCAAAAGA